CGCGUAGGCGGUCUGCUAAGCGUGUGGUGAAAGCUCGGGGCUCAACCCCGAGUCGGCCAUGCGAACUGGUGGACUUGAGCACUGUAGAGGCAGGUGGAAUUCCGGGUGUAGCGGUGGAAUGCGUAGAGAUCCGGAAGAACACCGGUGGCGAAGGCGGCCUGCUGGGCAGUUGCUGACGCUGAGGCGCGACAGCGUGGGGAGCAAACA
rnacentral:rRNA from 1 species